AGUGGAGCGGCAACAGCUCAAAUUUGAAAUCUGGCCCUAGGCCCGAGUUGUAAUUUGCAGAGGAUGCUUUUGGUGAGGUGCCUUCCAAGUUCCCUAGAACGGGACGCCAGAGAGGGUGAGAGCCCCGUACAGUUGGACACCAAGCCUUUGUAAAGCUCCUUCGACGAGUCGAGUAGUUUGGGAAUGCUGCUCAAAAUGGGAGGUAUAUUUCUUCUAAAGCUAAAUACCGGCCAGAGACCGAUAGCGCACAAGUAGAGUGAUCGAAAGAUGAAAAGCACUUUGAAAAGAGGGUUAAACAGCACGUGAAAUUGUUAAAAGGGAAGCGCUUGUGACCAGACUUGCGUCCGGUGAAUCACCCAGCUCUCGCGGCUGGGGCACUUCGCCGGCUCAGGCCAGCAUCAGCUCGCUGUCGGGGACAAAAGCUUCAGGAACGUAGCUCUCUUCGGGGAGUGUUAUAGCCUGUUGCAUAAUACCCUUCGGCGGGCUGAGGUACGCGCUCCGCAAGGAUGCUGGCAUAAUGGUCAUCAGCGAC
rnacentral:rRNA from 1 species